rnacentral:rRNA from 1 species
ACCUAGUAGUAUGGGAUAGCCACUAGAAAUGGUGGGUAAUACUGUAUAAUCCCUGCGGGGGAAAGAUUUAUCGCUAUUAGAUGAGCCUAUGUCAGAUUAGCUAGUUGGUGGGGUAAUGGCCUACCAAGGCGGUGAUCUGUAGCUGGUCUGAGAGGAUGAUCAGCCACACUGGAACUGAGACACGGUCCAGACUCCUACGGGAGGCAGCAGUGGGGAAUAUUGGACAAUGGGCGCAAGCCUGAUCCAGCUAUGCCGCGUGAGUGAGGAAGGCCUUAGGGUUGUAAAACUCUUUCAGUAGGGAAGAUAAUGACGGUACCUACAGAAGAAGUCCCGGCAAACUCCGUGCCAGCAGCCGCGGUAAUACGGAGGGGGCAAGCGUUGUUCGGAAUUAUUGGGCGUAAAGGGCAUGUAGGCGGUUUGGUAAGUUAAAGGUGAAAUACCAGGGCUUAACCCUGGAGCUGCUUUUAAUACUGCAGGACUAGAGUCCGGAAGAGGAUA